rnacentral:rRNA from 1 species
ACCAGUACCGUGAGGGAAAGGUGAAAAGCACCCCGGGAGGGGAGUGAAACAGUACCUGAAACCGUGCGCCCACGAGCAGUCGGAGCACCUUUAUGGUGUGACGGCGUGCCUUUUGUAGAAUGAGCCAGCGAGUCGCUGGCGCGGGGCGAGGUUAACCGAAAGGGAGCCGGAGCGAAAGCGAGCCUUAACAGGGCGACUUGAGUCCCGCGCCGCGGACGCGAAGCCGGGUGAGCUAUCCGUGGGCAGGCUGAAGCGGGGGUAAGACCCCGUGGAGGGCCGAACGCACGUCGGUUGAAAACGGCGGCGAUGACCUGCGGAUAGGGGUGAAAGGCCAAUCAAACCCGGAGAUAUCUCGUUCUCCCCGAAAUAGCUUUAGGGCUAGCGUCGCGCGUUCACCGCCGGAGGUAGAGCACCGGAUGGACGAGGGGGCUUCGCCGCCUACCGAAUCCAACCGAACUCCGAAUGCCGGCGGCCCAGAGCGCGGCAGUCAGAGCAUGUGGGCUAAGCUGUGUGCUCGAGAGGGAAACAGCCCGGACCGCCCGCUAAGGUCCCCAAGUUCCAGCCGAGUGGCAAAGGAUGUGCGUCCGCCCAGACAACCAGGAUGUUGGCUUAGAAGCAGCCAUCCAUUCAAAGAGUGCGUAACAGCUCACUGGUCGAGUGGACAUGCGCCGACAAUACACGGGGCUAAGCUGGACACCGAAGCGGCGGGAUUUUAAUUCAUUAGAAUCGGUAGGGGAGCUUCCCAUGGGCGGAGAAGCCGUCAGGGCGACCGACGGUGGAGCGCAUGGGAGUGAGAAUGCUGGCAUGAGUAGCGAGAGACGAGAGAGUAACUCGUCCGCCGUGAACCCGAGGUUUCCUGGGCAAGGCUAAUCCUCCCAGGGUCAGUCGGGGGCUAAGGCGAGGCCGGGAGGCGUAGCCGACGCGCAGCAGGCAGACAUUCCUGCACCGCGCACGCGGCGCUACGACCGACGGGGCGACGGAUGGGGGUGGCUCGGCGGGGUUCUGGACGUCCCCGUGAUGGAGCGCGGCCCGCGGACCAGGGAAAUCCGGUCCGCACGAGGGCGAGGCUCCGGACGAAGCGACUGAGCGAAGCGAGUGAGCCCGAGGUCCCUAGAAAAACCCCUAGGCAGGCGCGUGCGCGCCCGUACCGCAAACCGACACAGGUGGGUGGGUAGAACAUACCGAGGCGAUCGGGUCAACCAUGGUCAAGGAACUCGGCACAAUGGCCCCGUAACUUCGGGAGAAGGGGUGCCCGCGCGUACGUGAACGGACUUGCUCCGGGAGCGGAGGCGGGCCGCAGUGGAGAGGCCCAAGCGACUGUUUACCAAAAACACAGGACUCUGCAGAAGCCGCAAGGCGACGUAUAGGGUCUGACGCCUGCCCGGUGCCGGAAGGUCACGCGGAGGGGUUAGCCGUUAAGGCGAAGCCCCGAAGCCAAGCCCCGGUAAACGGCGGCCGUAACUAUAACGGUCCUAAGGUAGCGAAAUUCCUUGUCGGGUAAGUUCCGACCUGCACGAAAGGCGCAACGACUUGGGCGCUGUCUCGACCAUGGACCCGGUGAAAUUGCACUGGUCGUGAAGAUGCGACUUACCCGCGGAAGGACGGAAAGACCCCGUGAACCUUCACUGCAGCUUGGCAUUGGCCGCUGGUCCCGCGUGUAGAGGAUAGGCAGGAGGCAUCGAUCCGGAGGCGCCAGCCCCCGGGGAGCCGCCCUUGGAAUACUGCCCUCGCGCGACCGGCGUCCUAACCCGAGGCCGUCAACCGGCUCGGGGACCGUGCCAGGCGGGCAGUUUGACUGGGGCGGUCGCCUCCUAAAGGGUAACGGAGGCGCGCGAAGGUCCGCUCGGGACGGUCGGCAACCGUCCUUUUGAAUGCAAGAGUACAAGCGGGCUUGACUGCGAGGCCCACAAGCCGAGCAGGUGCGAAAGCAGGCUCUAGUGAUCCGGCGGCCCCGAGUGGGUGGGCCGUCGCUCAACGGAUAAAAGGUACUCCGGGGAUAACAGGCUGAUCUUGCCCAAGAGUCCACAUCGACGGCAAGGUUUGGCACCUCGAUGUCGGCUCAUCGCAUCCUGGGGCUGGAGCAGGUCCCAAGGGUACGGCUGUUCGCCGUUUAAAGCGGUACGCGAGCUGGGUUCAGAACGUCGUGAGACAGUUCGGUCCCUAUC